rnacentral:rRNA from 1 species
ACGUAGGUGGCAAGCGUUGUCCGGAUUUACUGGGUGUAAAGGGUGCGCAGGCGGGACUGCAAGUUGGAUGUGAAAUACCGGGGCUUAACCCCGGAGCUGCAUCCAAAACUGUAGUUCUUGAGUGAAGUAGAGGUAAGCGGAAUUCCGAGUGUAGCGGUGAAAUGCGUAGAUAUUCGGAGGAACACCAGUGGCGAAGGCGGCUUACUGGGCUUUAACUGACGCUGAGGCACGAAAGCAUGGGUAGCAAACAG